CUUGAGGCAGUCUAAAUAGGCAAAUCCGUUUGGACAAUGCUAGGAUGUGAUGGGGAAGCCCUUCGGGGCGAAGUAGCUGAUUUCACACUGUCAAGAAAAGCUUCUAUCGAGUUUAAAGGCGCCCGUACCGUAAACCGACACAGGUGGGUGAGGAGAGUAUCCUAAGGCCAGCGAGAGAACUAUUGUUAAGGAACUCGGCAAAAUGACCCCGUAACUUAGGGAGAAGGGGUGCCUGUCUAUGACAGGCCGCAGAGAAUAGGCCCAGGCGACUGUUUACCAAAAACACAGGUUUCUGCUAAGUCGCAAGACGAUGUAUAGGAGCUGACGCCUGCCCGGUGCUGGAAGGUUAAGGGGAUCUGUUAGAGCAAUCGAAGCAGUGAACUUAAGCCCCAGUAAACGGCGGCCGUAACAAUAACGGUCCUAAGGUAGCGAAAUUCCUUGUCGGGUAAGUUCCGACCCGCACGAAAGGCGUAACGAUUUGGGCACUGUCUCAACAAUAGACUCGGUGAAAUUGUAAUCCCGGUGAAGAUGCCGGGUACCUGCGACAGGACGGAAAGACCCCAUGGAGCUUUACUGUAGCUUGACGUUGGGUCUUGGUACUACAUGUACAGGAUAGGUGGGAGACUAUGAAGCAUGGACGCCAGUCUGUGUGGAGUCAUCCUUGGGAUACCACCCUUGUAGUACUGGGAUCCUAACCAUAGGCCUUGAAUCAGGUCUUGGAACACCGUCAGGUGGGCAGUUUGACUGGGGCGGUCGCCUCCUAAAAAAGUAACGGAGGCGCUCAAAGUUUCCUCAGCACGGUCGGAAAUCGUGCGAAGAGUGUAAAGGCAAAAGGAAGCUUGAUUGCAAGACAUACAGGUCGAGCAAGGACGAAAGUCGGACUUAGUGAUCCGGUGGUACCGCAUGGAAGGGCCAUCGCUCAACGGAUAAAAGCUACCCUGGGGAUAACAGGCUUAUCUCCCCCAAGAGUCCACAUCGACGGGGAGGUUUGGCACCUCGAUGUCGGCUCAUCACACCCUGGGGCUGUAGUAGGUCCCAAGGGUUGGGCUGUUCGCCCAUUAAAGUGGUACGCGAGCUGGGUUCAGAACGUCGUGAGACAGUUCGGUCCCUAUCCGUCGCAGGCGUAGGAAAUUUGAGAAGACCUGUCCUUAGUACGAGAGGACCGGGAUGGACGUACCUCUGGUGUACCAGUUGUUCUGCCAAGGGCAUGGCUGGGUAGCUAUGUACGGAAUGGAUAAGCGCUGAAAGCAUCUAAGCGCGAAGCCAACUUCAAGAUAAGAUUUCCCACCGUAAGGGUAAGACCCCAGGAAGACUACCUGGUUGA
rnacentral:rRNA from 1 species